rnacentral:rRNA from 1 species
GUCUAUGGCCAUGCCACCGUGAAUGCCUCUGAGCUCGUCUGACCUUGGAAGCUUAGCAGGGUCGAGCAUGCUUAAUAUUUAGAUGGGAGAAAGGACAAGCGUGUUCCCCGCGGGGA